UUAGACAAAAAACAUUAAAACAUAUAAGCUGCCCUUCUUUUCUCAUUCUUCUAUUUGUUCAUACAAGCUCCGAUGCGAUCAUUCUGGUUGAGUAAAAACUCAUACAAGCUCUUAUGGUCAAUUAGAAGGUCAUACAAGCUCCGAUUUGUUUCCUUUAGAGUUUCGAUUGUUCGAUUUGCUGGUACAAACUCAUAAAACCUCCGGGUAUGUCAUUGUCUGGGUCUUUCUUGCAUAGAUUUGUUUCUUUGUGUCAAGGAUGUCUGUGUCUAAGAACUCAAUAUUUCAAUUACCUUCCUUUUGUGUUAUUUUGGUUAGUUUUCUCAAGUGGGUCAAUUUUUUCGAUGGGGUCAUGUGGGUGUAAGAGGGUCAAGUGGGUUUCGACCGGACUUUAAAGCUUAAAGUUCAAGCGGGUUUUCAUUGGAGUUUGGAGUUGUUUUUUGUGAUUGUAAUUUGGAUGUUUGGGUUUUGCUUAGUAGCGAGGUAACCAAAGCAAGGCUAUAAAGGAGGAGCUGUCUUCUUUAGAAUUGCUGCCAGAAGAAGAGCUUGAUGCACACAAUGCCACCAAGAUGGUUACUAGACUUGUAAAAGAAGAUCACUGGUGAUUGCACUAAAGGUGGCAUUCUCAAUGCUUCAUAUGGGUACAUACGGGGGCAUGAAGGGAAAAGUAUAUGUAGCUCGUACAUUCAUGAGCUUUGAUUAGAGAUACAGAACCUAACUAGAUGGGGAGGUGCACUACAAUUAUGUUGUGAUUCUCUAUAUUUGCUACCCAUCCAUAGUAGAAUAAGGGCUACGUCUACGGAAAAUGGCUACUAAAAUUAGUGUAGGAGUUGAUGUUUGCAUGGUUAAUGAAAGAGGCUUCUAUUUCAACCUUGCAGAAGUUCAGAAACCUCUUUAUGCUAAUGGGACUAAUUUAAGUAUGAAUGGGUCAUGUGCACAAGUCUAUUAAACUACACUUAUGCAGAUGAAAAUAUAGAAUGCAGCUUUUAGUCACUUUAGAACGAGGAGGAUGGGAAUGCAGCUGCUCAACAUAGUGAUGAAUGAAGAUUUUUAGUCACUUUUUAUUAUUACUUCUUCAUCUAUUCUUGCUUUUAGAUUGACUUUUAUAAGGAUGGUUUAUAAAUUGGUACAUUAGUCCGGUUUCUAUGUAUCUUUCAACUUGAUGACUCGGUUUGUACUUUGUAUUUUCUUUUGGUUAAUUUCAAGUCAAGAAAAUUUCAGGGUA